rnacentral:misc_RNA from 1 species
AAAGUCGUAACAAGGUUUCCGUAGGUGAACCUGCGGAAGGAUCAUUAAAAGAGAGCCCGGGGUGCCUUUUUUGGCCCCCAGACCUCCCACCCUUUGUGAACGUACCUUGAGUUGCUUUGGCGGGGCGUGGCCAGAAAUGGUCCCGCUGGUCCCCUUCGCCCGGGGCUAGCGUGCCCCCGCCAGAGGAUCAUAAGAAUCUUGCUUUAAAAACCGUGUCUGAAGAAAUAUACUAUUGAAAUAGCGAAAAAACUUUCAACAACGGAUCUCUUGGUUCUG